rnacentral:rRNA from 1 species
AUCAUUGGGCGUAAAGGGUGUGUAGGUGGUCGCGUUAGUCUCUCGUUAAAUUCUUCGGCUCAACCGGGGGUCUGCGGGAGAAACGGCGCGACUUGACGAUGCAAGAGGUCUCUGGAACUCAUAGUGUAGCGGUGAAAUGCGUUGAUAUUAUGGGGAACACCAAAAGCGAAGGCAGCAGACUGGAGCACUCCUGACACUGAAACAAGAAAGCGUGGGUCGCGAAUGGGAUUAGAUACCCCAGUAGUCCACGCCCUAAACGAUCUUCUCUAGUUUUUCGGAGUAUCGACCCUCUGAGAGACGUAGCUAACGCGUUAAGAGAAGCGCCUGGGUAGUACGACCGCAAGGUUAAAACUCAAAGGAAUAGACGGGGACUUGCACAAGCAGUGGAUCAUGUGGUUUAAUUCGAUGAUAAACGAAGAACCUUACCAGGGUUUAAUCUAGCUGAAGACAAGAAGAAACUUUUGUUGUCGCAAGACAGUUAGUCAGGUGAUGCAUGGCCGUCGUCAGUUCGUGGCUUGAGUUGUUCCCUUCAGUGGGGUAACGAACGCAACCCUCGUUGUCUGUUAUAUUUGUCAGGCGAGACUGCCCACGACACAGUGCGGAAUUAGUAACAAAAUUUAGAUAAAUUGCGGUGAGGAGGUCUUUUGUUUUCUCUAGCGAAAGCGUAAGAAAAUAAAAGAGCCUCCGAGCGCAAGUAAUUUAUCAAAUUUUGUCUGAUUGUUUGCUGCGUCGUGGGAGGAAGGUGAGGAUGACGCCAGGUCAGCAUGUCCCUUAUACCCUGGGCUACACACGUGAUACAAUGGAUGGUACAACAGGACGCUAAGCCGAAAGGUGGAGCAAAUCCUUAUAAAACCAUUCUCAGUUCGGAUUGAGGUCUGCAACUCGACCUCAUGAAGUUGGAAUUGCUAGUAAUCGCAGGUCAGCUAUACUGCGGUGAAUACGUUCUCAAGUCUUGUACUCAGAAUCAAAGGCGCCCGGCAGUUUAUAUAUCUAAGUGGUUAAAGUCCACUCAUUUAUUCCCAAA